rnacentral:rRNA from 1 species
AUUGAACGCUGGCGGAAUGCUUUACACAUGCAAGUCGAACGGCAGCACGGACUUCGGUCUGGUGGCGAGUGGCGAACGGGUGAGUAAUGUAUCGGAACGUGCCCAGUCGUGGGGGAUAACGUAGUGAAAAUUACGCUAAUACCGCAUACGAUCUAUGGAUGAAAGCGGGGGAUCGCAAGACCUCGCGCGAUUGGAGCGGCCGAUAUCAGAUUAGGUAGUUGGUGGGGUAAAGGCCCACCAAGCCAACGAUCUGUAGCUGGUCUGAGAGGACGACCAGCCAAACUGGAACUGAGACACGGUCCAGACUCCUACGGGAGGUAGCAGUGGGGAAUUUUGGACAAUGGGCGAAAGCCUGAUCCAGCCACUCCGCGUGCAGGAUGAAGGCCCUCGGGUUGUAAACUGCUUUUGUACAGAACGAAAAGGUUUCUACUAAUACUAGGAGCUCAUGACGGUACUGUAAGAAUAAGCACCGGCUAACUACGUGCCAGCCGCCGCAGUAA